GGAUGCGAUCAUACCAGCACUAAAGCACCGGAUCCCAUCAGAACUCCGAAGUUAAGCGUGCUUGGGCGAGAGUAGUACUAGGAUGGGUCACCUCCUGGGAAGUCCUCGUGUUGCAUUCC
rnacentral:rRNA from 2 species